rnacentral:rRNA from 1 species
GACGAACGCUGGCGGCGUGCUUAACACAUGCAAGUCGAACGGAAAGGCCCUGCUUUUGUGGGGUGCUCGAGUGGCGAACGGGUGAGUAACACGAGAGUAACCUGCCCUUGCCUUUGGGAUAACUUCAGGAAACUGGGGCUAAUACCGGAUAGGAGCUCCUGCUGCAUGGUGGGGGUUGGAAAGUUUCGGCGGUUGGGGAUGGACUCGCGGCUUAUCAGCUUGUUGGUGGGGUAGUGGCUUACCAAGGCUUUGACGGGUAGCCGGCCUGAGAGGGUGACCGGCCACAUUGGGACUGAGAUACGGCCCAGACGCCUACGGGAGGCAGCAGUGGGGAAUAUUGCACAAUGGGCGGAAGCCUGAUGCAGCAACGCCGCGUGCGUGAUGACGGCCUUCGGGUUGUAAACCGCUUUCGCCUGUGACGAAGCGUGAGUGACGGUAAUGGGUAAAGAAGCACCGGCUAACUACGUG